UCAGAUUUUAAACUCGUUUCAAAUCUCGCACGUGUUACAUUGACCUUCAUGACUCCAAAAGAAGGCUAAAAAGAACUUGAUUGCUUCAUGCCCUAAAUCUCUUUUCUUUCUACUUUCUCAUCCACUGAUUAAUUUUUCCCUGUAAUUCAAAACAACUGAAUUCAGUCUCAUAGUUCGUUAUUUCAGUUUUAGACUUUGGUUGAUAGUGAUGAACUCGGAAACCCAAAUGCCUGCCAGUCAUAAAAUUUGUAGAGUAGAUACUUUAGAGCUGAAAUCCCAGAUUGUAAGGAAGAUCGGGCGCAUAAAAGCCGAGAAGUACUUCAAUCUGCUCACAAGAUUUUUGAGCCUUAAGAUUUGCAAACCUGAGUUUGAUAAGCUUUGCAUCGGUACAAUUGGGAGAGAAAAUGUCCGUCUUCAUAAUAAUCUCCUCAGAUCAAUUAUUAGAAAUGCUUCAGUUUCAAAGACUCCUCCACCGAUAGCGAACAAUUUGGAAGGUUCUUUAAGUGUUAAAGUGUUAAAUGGGUAUCAAAGAAGUAAUCUUCAGUCACUGUGCAAAGACUUUCCUCAAUCCUCUCGUAAGAGUAGGACUCCAAAUCUUCACGAUCGCAAGUUAAGGGACCGCCCAAGACCUUUAGGGCCUCAUGGGAAGAGCCAUAACACUGCUUGCGAAGAUGCAGUUCGUAAAGUACAAGAACAACAGAGUGCUACCGAGUUGCUUUCUUUGGGUAGCAGACCGCCGGGAUCCGUUGAGGAUGGAGAAGAAGUCGAUCAAGCUACGGGAAGUCCAAGCAUUUACAGUAGGAUUCCUGUGAGUGCUCCGCUUGGCAUCACUUUGAAUGCUAAAGGAAUGCGUAAGGUACCAUGGAAUGGAUCGGCAUCUGAUACCGAGACUUGUUAUUUUCGGGGUGAACUACCUGAUACUGGUUCUUUGAGGGAAAGGUUGGAAAAGAAGUUGGAGAUGGAAGGAUUGAAUAUCUCAGUAGAUUGUCCAGAUUUGUUGAACAAUAGCCUUGAUGUUUACAUGAAGAGAUUGAUAAAACCUUGUUUGGAACUGGCUGGUACGAGGUCCAGGCAAAAACUUAUUGACCGGGGCCAGAAUCUGUCCAUGGACUAUUUGGAUGGGAUGCAGCCUAUGAGGUAUGCACCGAAUCAAAGAGGCCCUGUUUCUGCAUCAAUGUUAGACUUUCAAGUUGCGAUGGAGAUGAAUCCCCUGAUUCUCGGAGUAGACUGGCCAACACAACUCGAGAAGGUGUGCCUGCUUGCUUCAGAAGAGUGAGAACCAAAACUAAUUGGCUUCAUGAUUCGAGUUAAACUGGAUUCCAGCCAGAGCAAUUUUGAGUUAUUUCGAUUUUGACGUUCACACUAACAUUGGUCUCGAGCAUAUCAUUUUUAUAUAAUAAAUGAAGUAAACAAGUAAAAAGGUUACUAGAGUUUCGGAUAAAGCUGCUUAUAUUGUAAAUAUGUCAUGGCUUUGAAUUAUCCUGGAGGAGUGAUGUCUCAACUAGGUGAAAUCCAAUGAUAUUGACACUUACACUAGCAACUAUUUCCACCUGAUAUCUAUAGCUUUGUUCCAGGUAACACCUGUUUUCAUAAUAAUAGAGCAUAUCUUCGGUUUUUCUGGCCUGGCCCGCUGUUGUUGAAUUUGUCCUGUGAAAGCUACUUGUUCCUUUCAUGGAUCUUAUUGGCCAGUUCUUGAUUUGGAUGACGAUUCUGCUGAAAUACGGAGAUGAUUGAAACUGUACCGAUACUUGAUCGUUUCCGAGUAGUUAGUUUCUUGCGGAAUCUGAAUUGGAUCAGAUAUAGAGAAAUAUGGAACCUAUUAUUGCAGUGAUAUGGAAGAUCAUAGUGCAACUAAUGUUUGAUUGAUUUGUUCAGUUGAAUUUGUUACUUUUUUUUCCUUGUAAUGUUAGGCAUGUUCUUGUUUGGAUCAUAAACAUGGACAUGCUAGAAAAUGAAUU